rnacentral:rRNA from 1 species
GUGCCAGCCGCCGCGGUAAUACAGAGGGUGCGAGCGUUGUCCGGAAUCACUGGGCGUAAAGGGCGCGUAGGCGGCCGGGUAAGUAGGAGGUGAAAUCUCACAGCUCAACUGUGAGGAUGCCUUCUAGACUGCUUGGCUUGAGCACGGUAGAGGCUGGUGGAAUUCCCGGUGUAGUGGUGAAAUGCGUAGAUAUCGGGAGGAACACCAGUGGCGAAGGCGGCUUCCUGGCCUGUUCUUGACGCUGAGGCGCGAAAGCUAGGGGAGCAAACGGGAUUAGAUACCCCGGUAGUCC